rnacentral:rRNA from 1 species
CAGGACGAGCGCUGGCGGCGUGCCUAAUACAUGCAGGUCGAACGGUCUUUCUAUGGAAGCUUGCUUCCACUGAGAAGAUAGUGGCGAACGGGUGAGUAACACGUGGGUAACCUGCCCAUAAGAGGGGGAUAACAUCCGGAAACGGGUGCUAAUACCGCAUAGUUUUCUUGAUCGCAUGAUCGGGAAAGGAAAGACGGCCUUUGUGCUGUCGCUUAUGGAUGGACCCGCGGCGUAUUAGUUAGUUGGUGAGGUAACGGCUCACCAAGACGAUGAUACGUAGCCGACCUGAGAGGGUGAUCGGCCACAUUGGGACUGAGACACGGCCCAAACUCCUACGGGAGGCAGCAGUAGGGAAUCUUCCGCAAUGGACGAAAGUCUGACGGAGCAACGCCGCGUGAGUGAAAGAAGGUUUUCGGAUCGUAAAACUCUGUUGUCGGAGAAGAACAAGUUGGAGAGUAACUGCUCCAGCCUUGACGGUAUCUGACCAGAAAGCCACGGCUAACUACGUGCCAGCCGCCGC